rnacentral:rRNA from 1 species
GAUGAACGCUGGCGGCGUGCUUAACACAUGCAAGUCGAACGGACAGGCCCUGCUUGCAGGGUACUCGAGUGGCGAACGGGUGAGUAACACGUGGGUGAACUGCCCUGCACUUCGGGAUAAGCCUGGGAAACUGGGCCUAGUACAGGAUAGGAGACAUAUUUAGCGUGAUGGUUGGAAAGUGUUUUCGGUGUAGGGUGAGCUUGCGGCCUAUCGGCUUGUUGGUGGGGUGAUGGCCUACCAAGGCGGCGACGUGUAGCCGGCCUGAGAGGCUGGACGGCCACCCAGGCUCCUACGGGCGGCCCCGGCACCGACUGGUGGCAGCUGGGCGGAAUCUUGCCCGAUCGGCGCCAGCCUGAUGCAGCGACUCCUCGGGGGGGAUGACUGCCUUCUGAUUGAAAACUCCUUUCGCUAGUGACGAAGCUUUUUGUGACGGUACCUAGAUAAGAAGCACCGGCUAACUACGUG